CUACGGGCCGCUGCAGUAGGGAAUAUUGGGCAAUGGGCGCAAGCCUGACCCAGCAACGCCGCGUGCGCGAAGAAGGCCUUCGGGUCGUAAAGCGCUUUUCUGAGGGAUGAGAAAGGACAGUACCUCAGGAAUAAGCCUCGGCUAACUACGUGCCAGCAGCCGCGGUAAAACGUAGGAGGCGAGCGUUAUCCGGAUUUACUGGGCGUAAAGCGUGUGCAGGCGGUCUGGCAAGUUGGAUGUGAAAGCUCCCGGCUCAACUGGGGGAGGUCGUUCAAAACUACCGGACUAGAGUGUAUCAGAGGGAGAUGGAAUUCCCGGUGUAGUGGUGAAAUGCGUAGGUAUCGGGAGGAACACCAGUGGCGAAAGCGAUCUUCUGGGAUACUACUGACGCUCAGACACGAAAGCUAAGGUAGCGAACGGGAUUAGAUACCCGCGUAGUC
rnacentral:rRNA from 1 species